rnacentral:rRNA from 1 species
AGAGUUUGAUUCUGGCUCAGGGUAAACGCUGGCGGCGUGCGUAACACAUGCAAGUCGGACGGGUUAUACAUCUUCGGAUGUAUAAUCAGUGGCGAACGGGUGAGUAAAAGGUAGGGACCUACCCCGAGGACAGAGAUAGCUACUGGAAACGGUAGGUAAACUCUGAUAAGCCCGAGAGGGGAAAGUGGGAGUCAGCCUUGGGAUGGACCUACUAUCCAUCAGGUAGUUGGUGAGGUAAAGGCUUACCAAGCCGAUGACGGAUAACCGGUGUGAGAGCAUGUACGGUCACAAGGGCACUGAGACACGGGCCCUACUCCUACGGGAGGCAGCAGUGGGGAAUAUUGGACAAUGGGCGAAAGCCUGAUCCAGCGACGCCGCGUGAAGGAAGAAGUCCUUCGGGAUGUAAACUUCUGAACUAAUCGAAUAAAAGGGUAGUGGACACACUACAGAAGAAGGUAGAUUAGGAAAAGUCCCGGCUAACUACGUGCCAGCAGCCGCGGUAAGACGUAGGGGGCGAGCGUUGCCCGGAAUCACUGGGUGUAAAGGGGACGUAGGCGGAUGAUCAAGUCAUCUGUGAAAAGAUUGCUCAACGAUUGGCUUGCGGAUGAAACUGGUCAUCUUGGGCGUAGCAGAGGUAGACGGAAUUACCUGAGUAGGGGUGAAAUCCGCAGAUACAGGUAAGAAGGCCGGUGAAGAAGUUGGUCUACUGGGCUACAGCUGACGCUGAGGUCCGAAAGCCAGGGGAGCGAACCG